GAUGAAGAACGCAGCGAAAUGCGAUAAGUAGUGUGAAUUGCAGAAUUCAGUGAAUCAUCGAAUCUUUGAACGCACAUUGCGCCCCUUGGUAUUCCAUGGGGCAUGCCUGUUCGAGCGUCAUUUGUAUCUUAAGCUUUGCUUAGUGUUGGGUGAUUGUCUGCAUGUAGUGCAGACUCGCCUUGAAUCUAUUGGCCGCCGAUAGUCUAGUAUGCGAGCGCAGCACAUUUGCGCACCGUACCCGUCUUAUUAGCCACCAUCAAGUACAAUAUCAACGUUUGACCUCGGAUCAGGUAGGGAUACCCGCUGAACUUAAGCAUAUCAAUAAGCGGAGGA
rnacentral:misc_RNA from 1 species